UCCCUGAUGGCUCAGAUGGUAAAGCGUCUGCCUGCAAUGCAGGAGACCCGGGUUCGAUCCCUGGGUUGGGAA
rnacentral:tRNA from 1 species